GAGAGGGAAGGACAGUGUGAGAGAGACACAGAGGGAGGGACAGAGUGAAUGGAGAGCCCCACCAGUCCCUGUGCUUUUGGUCGAAUCCCCAGUUUUCGCCCUGAGUCCUCCAUCCGGUUUUGGAUGUCUGCCUCUGUUGUUAACAUCUUGUGUCUCUCUGCAACCGGACAGCUAGUGGGAGCGUACGAUGCAGCCAGGAGCCUUUGGACCCCGCUCCACCCAGGGGAGGAAGAACCCGUUCGAAACUCCCAGGCAAUGAAAGAAACGCGGACGCAACUCGUUCCUUUUCCACGGCGGUUGGCACGGGCCGAUUUCUGACCGACGCAGCCGUCCACGAAAGGCGUUGAGCAGCUAUUGCGCACGGCUCUCACAAAACACCCGGAAAUCGCUUGGGAGCAGGAAUGCGGCGGUGGGGGAGGGAGGGGGGUGGGUGCACAGCGUCCUGGGCAUGCAGAGGGAAGAUCAUGGGGGCGCCCUGCAAAUGGAGGAUGGUCUUGGCAGACUCUAUCUAAGCCACCCGCCGCGCCAAUCUUCCAUUCCCUGCGAAUGUUUCCCGGGACAUCUGCAGCGGUGUUGGUGUCAGAGGAACUAGAGACGCGUGUUUAUUUCUUCGGAGUAGUUACUCGGCGUUCCCGGCUCGCGCCAUCCUCAGAAUCAGGUCUGACUGACCGACCAACGGAGAAAUGAAAUGUGCUCUCAUAAAA